GACGAACGCUGGCGGCGUGCUUAACACAUGCAAGUCGAACGGUAAGGCCCUUCGGGGUACACGAGUGGCGAACGGGUGAGUAACACGUGGUGAUCUGCCCUGCACUUCGGGAUAAGCCUGGGAAACUGGGUCUAAUACCGGAUAGGACUCCGGACUGCAUGGUCUGGGGUGGAAAGCUUUUGCGGUGUGGGAUGGGCCCGCGGCCUAUCAGCUUGUUGGUGGGGUGAUGGCCUACCAGGGCGACGACGGGUAGCCGGCCUGAGAGGGUGACCGGCAACACUGGGACUGAGAUACGGCCCAGACUCCUACGGGAGGCAGCAGUGGGGAAUAUUGCACAAUGGGCGCAAGCCUGAUGCAGCGACGCCGCGUGAGGGAUGACGGCCUUCGGGUUGUAAACCUCUUUCAGCAUCGACGAAGCGAAAGUGACGGUAGGUGCAGAAGAAGGACCGGCCAACUACGUGCCAGCAGCCGCAGUAA
rnacentral:rRNA from 1 species